AGAGUUUGAUCAUGGCUCAGAACGAACGCUGGCGGCAGGCUUAACACAUGCAAGUCGAGCGCCCCGCAAGGGGAGCGGCAGACGGGUGAGUAACGCGUGGGAAUCUACCCAGCUCUACGGAACAACUCCGGGAAACUGGAGCUAAUACCGUAUACGUCCUUCGGGAGAAAGAUUUAUCGGAGUUGGAUGAGCCCGCGUUGGAUUAGCUAGUUGGUGGGGUAAUGGCCUACCAAGGCGACGAUCCAUAGCUGGUCUGAGAGGAUGAUCAGCCACACUGGGACUGAGACACGGCCCAGACUCCUACGGGAGGCAGCAGUGGGGAAUAUUGGACAAUGGGCGAAAGCCUGAUCCAGCCAUGCCGCGUGAGUGAUGAAGGCCCUAGGGUUGUAAAGCUCUUUCACCGGUGAAGAUAAUGACGGUAACCGGAGAAGAAGCCCCGGCUAACUUCGUGCCAGCAGCCGCGGUAAUACGAAGGGGGCUAGCGUUGUUCGGAAUUACUGGGCGUAAAGCGCACGUAGGCGGACUAUUAAGUCAGGGGUGAAAUCCCGGGGCUCAACCCCGGAACUGCCUUUGAUACUGGUAGUCUCGAGUCCGGAAGAGGUGAGUGGAAUUCCGAGUGUAGAGGUGAAAUUCGUAGAUAUUCGGAGGAACACCAGUGGCGAAGGCGGCUCACUGGUCCGGUACUGACGCUGAGGUGCGA
rnacentral:rRNA from 1 species